ensembl:miRNA
UGUUUCUGUGUAUGUGUAUAGAUAAGUUUGUCUGUACAUGCGGAUAUAUGAAAAGACAUAUAUUGACACAUAUUCACACAUGCAUGCAUACAGAAACACA